UCAAAGCUGCAGGGCAGGAGCCUGCUGGUCGUCAAGCUGCCUGUCAAUAGGUGUGCACAUAGCAACUCGAGUUGACCUCAUUUAUCCUCUUCAAAAACAUUCUGGCUGCAGGAAGCUCUUGCUCUCACAAGUCUACAUGAAAAACUC